rnacentral:rRNA from 1 species
GUGGAACAUGUGGCUUAAUUUGACCCAACACGGGAAAUCUUACCAGGUCCGGACACAUUAAGGAUUGACAGAUAAAAUAACCUUAUAUAAAAUAUGAUAGUUCUUUCAUGAUUAUGUGAUAGGUGGUGCAUGGCCGUUCUUAGUUCGUGGAUUGAUCUGUCUGCUUAAUUGCGUUUCAGAAAAAAAUAUACAAUAUUAUAAUAUAUAAUUAUUGAAUAUGUAAUAUGUGAACUGUUCUGCCAAAAGAUUUUGGAUUUUAAGUGAACGUUUAUAUUCAAUUAUAUGUUUAUAUAUUAUUAUAUUAUUAUAAUAUUAAAUAAAUUGAAUGCAACGAACGUGACCG